rnacentral:tRNA from 1 species
UAUUAAAUAGUGUAAGAAGCACAAAGAUUUUUGAAUUCUUAAGAAAUAGUUUAAUUCUAUUAUUGAAAU